UCGUAAGAGGACGUAUAGGGUGUGACGCCUGCCCGGUGCCGGAAGGUUAAUUGAUGGGUUAGCUUAGGCGAAGCUCUUGAUCGAAGCCCCGGUAAACGGCGGCCGUAACUAUAACGGUCCUAAGGUAGCGAAAUUCCUUGUCGGGUAAGUUCCGACCUGCACGAAUGGCGUAACGAUGGCCACACUGUCUCCACCCGAGACUCAGCGAAAUUGAACUUGCUGUUAAGAUGCAGUAUACCCGCGGCUAGACGGAAAGACCCCGUGCACCUUUACUACAGCUUUGCACUGGACUUUGAAUAUAUUUGUGUAGGAUAGCUGGGAGACUUUGAAGCGUGAACGCCAGUUUGCGUGGAGUCAAAACUGAAAUACCAGCCUGAUAUCUUUGAGGUUCUAACCUAGGCCCGUUAUCCGGGUCGGGAACAGUGUAUGGUGGGUAGUUUGACUGGGGCGGUCUCCUCCUAAAGAGUAACGGAGGAGCGCGAUGGUACCCUCAGCACGGUCGGAAAUCGUGCUAUGAGCGCAAAGGUAAAAGGGUGCUUAACUGUGAGACAGACACGUCGAACAGAUACGAAAGUAGGUCUUAGUGAUCCGGUGGUUCUGUAUGGAAGGGCCAUCGCUCAACGGAUAAAAGGUACUCUGGGGAUAACAGGCUGAUUCCUCCCAAGAGUUCAUAUCGACGGGGGAGUUUGGCACCUCGAUGUCGGCUCAUCACAUCCUGGGGCUGUAGCCGGUCCCAAGGGUAUGGCUGUUCGCCAUUUAAAGUGGUACGUGAGCUGGGUUUAAAACGUCGUGAGACAGUUUGGUCCCUAUCUGCCUUGGGCGUUGGAAAUUUGAGGGGACCUGCUCCUAGUACGAGAGGACCGGAGUGGACAGAUCUCUGGUGUACCGGUUAUGACGCCAGUCGUAUCGCCGGGUAGCUAUAUCUGGAAGAGAUAACCGCUGAAAGCAUCUAAGCGGGAAACUCGCCUCAAGAUGAGAUUUCCCUGGUAACUUGAUUACCCUGAAGGGUCGUGGAAGACUACCACGUUGAUAGGUCGGGUGUGGAAGCGCAGUAAUGCGUUAAGCUAACCGAUACUAAUUGCCCGUGUGGCUUGAUCCU
rnacentral:rRNA from 1 species